rnacentral:rRNA from 1 species
AUUGAACGCUGGCGGCAGGCCUAACACAUGCAAGUCGAACGCGUGGCGGACGUGUGAGUAAUGUCUGGGAAACUGCCCGAUGGAGGGGGAUAACUACUGGAAACGGUAGCUAAUACCGCAUACCAUCGGAUGUGCCCAGAUGGGAUUAGCUCGUAGGUGGGGUAAAGGCACACCUAGGAGACGGACCAUAGCUGGUCUGAGAGGAUGACCAGCGACACUGGAACUGUGACACGGUCCAGACUCCUACGGGAGGCAGCAGUGGGGAAUAUUGCACAAUGGGCGCAAGCCUGAUGCAGCCAUGCCGCGUGUAUGAAGAAGGCCGUCGGGUUGUAAAGUACUUUCAGCGGGGAGGCGUUACCCGCAGAAGAAGCACCGGCAAACUCCGUGCCAGCAGCCGCGGUAAUAC